GACGACUGAGACCUUGACAUUGCAGUAAAAAAAAAAAUUAUAAAAAUUUUAAUUAAAAUUUUCAACUAACAAAUUUUUUUUCCAUUUUCAAACUCUUGAAAUUAUCAUGGGACCCCUUGAUGCUGAUGGGACUUAGUAUUUUGAGCCACAGCCAUUUAAAGGGUAGCCGCUGAGUUCAAUCCGUUCCACCAGUUUAUUUUUCUCCAAACAACAGUGAUAACUCGAAGAAAAAUGAUACGAUCACCAUAAAAUUCAUGAAUGACGAAAAUGUUCGAAUCGCUUUAAGGAAGUAACAGUUUUUGGUAAAACUAAAUUAUAUUAUUUGAAUUAUCGGCCAUAGAAGGCGAACCAUAUAUACAGCGAACUACAAUUACGAUAGUACGAUCUAUCUUUUGGAUAAAACUAAGCCUUUGCAAGACUGAGGUUAAAAUAUCUCGGUAGUCAGACCUUCGGCAAACCAAACGAUAUAGCUGAAAAUGGCAUUCGUCGUCUCAACAAAUUUGUGGUAGGCUCAAAGCGCUUUGGCGAUUCGUGUUGGUCUUAUGAUCAAUUAUGUAGGUGUUUAAAACACUACAACGGACCGCCGUUCUAAGCUUUGCAAGAGAGAUCCCUGUUAAGAUCGACCCUUUAACAUAAUUUAUCUGUUUUGGCAACUUCAUUGCCACUAAUUUUUUCACAUACAAAGACUUCGGUGGAUGCGUAAUAAAUUUGGAGUCCAAUUAAAGCAUUUAAA